rnacentral:rRNA from 1 species
UACAGAGGGUGCGAGCGUUGUUCGGAAUUAUUGGGCGUAAAGGGUGCGUAGGUGGUCCGUUAAGUCAGUUGUGAAAUCCCCGGGCUCAACCCGGGAAAUGCUUCUGAUACUGACGGACUUGAGGCCAGUAGGGGUCACUAGAACUGACGGUGGAGCGGUGAAAUGCGUAGAUAUCGUCAGGAAUGCCGGUGGUGAAGACGGGUGACUGGGCUGGUUCUGACACUGAGGCACGAAAGCGUGGGGAGCAAACAGG